AAGGCCAGGCUGAGACUUUGUCCGGAUUAGCUGAGAGGUGGUGCAUGGCCGUCGUCAGUUCGUACUGUGAAGCAUCCUGUUAAGUCAGGCAACGAGCGAGACCCACGCCCACAGUUGCCAGCGUACUCUCUGGAGUGACGGGUACACUGUGGGGACCGCCGCUGCUAAAGCGGAGGAAGGAAUGGGCAACGGUAGGUCAGUAUGCCCCGAAUAUCCCGGGCUACACGCGAGCUACAAUGGUUGGUACAAUGGGUAUCUACCCCGAAAGGGGACGGGAAUCUCCUAAAACCAAUCUUAGUUCGGAUUGAGGGCUGCAACUCGCCCUCAUGAAGCUGGAAUCCGUAGUAAUGCGUUUCAACAGAACGCGGUGAAUACGUCCCUGCUCCUU
rnacentral:rRNA from 1 species